GGAAGGAUCAUUGAAUCUAUCGAUACCAACACCGAGAACCAUAUUGUCUGGCCCUCCCCUCCCCCUUAAUCCGGGGAAGGAGAGCUUCCUGGGCGGCAUUAACUUGCCGCGCGGGAUGGGCUCCAGCCCCUUAAACAAGGGCUGGCAGUCGGUCCUAUCUAACACCAACAACACCAAACCCAAACCAAACUAAAGCAUAAAUGCAGUCGGCCUGGCCGCUGCAUCCUAACCAAGACAACUCUCAACAACGGAUAUCUUGGCUCUCGCAACGAUGAAGAACGCAGCGAAAUGCGAUACGUAGUGUGAAUUGCAGAAUUCCGUGAACCAUCGAAUCUUUGAACGCAUAUUGCGCUCGAGCCUUCGGGCAAGAGCAUGUCUGCCUCAGCGUCGGGUUAAUAUCACCCAUUCACAUCUCUGUGUGUGUCUCGAGUGGACCUGGCUGUUCCAGCGAGUGGGGGAAGGCGCUUGCGCUCUCCUCCAAAUCGAGCUGGAUCAGCUGAAGAUCAGAGGUUAGCUCAAGGACCCGUCAAGGGCCGCAACUGGGUAGGCAGCUCACGCUCGCUAUUCUUAGUUGUUGGCUUGGGACCAUGGACUCGACCCACAAACAGGAACCCAACUUAUUUUCUCGACCUGAGCUCAGGCAAGAACACCCGCUGAACUUAAGCAUAUCAAUAAGCGGAGGAAAAGAAACUAACCAGGAUGCGCCUAGCAACGGCGAGUGAACCGCGCAUAGCCCAACUUGAAAAUCUCCUCUUGGAGAAUUGUAGUCUAUAGAAGCGCCCUCUGUGGCGGUCGGAGCUCAAGUCCUCUGGAAAGGGCGUCAGAGAGGGUGAGAACCCCGUCGGCUCUCGGCUUAGCUACUCCACGAGGUGCUUUCAACGAGUCGGGUAGUUUGAGAAUGCUGCCCAAAAUGGGAGGUAAAUCCCUUCUAAGGCUAAAUACUGGCGAGAGACCGAUAGCGAACAAGUACCGUGAGGGAAAGAUGAAAAGAACUUUGAAAAGAGAGUUAAAAAGUGCUUGAAAUUGUUGAGAGGGAAGCGAUUGGAGGCUGUGGGUGCGCCUAGGCUUAUGUGUCUCUAACGAGCCGCUGUAUGUGCUAGGUGCUGGUCAGCAUGGGUUAGCCUAGCGGGAUAAAAGCGGGGGUUGAUACCCUGUCUAUGCCGCUGGGUUGAUCAAGGCGUGAAUGGCGCUCAGUCCCUCGGGAACUGCGUCAUCAAGAAUGCUGGCAGAAGGCUUUCAAUCGACCCGUAUUGAAACACGGACCAAGGAGUCUAACAUGUAUGCGAGUUGGUGGGUGGAAAACCCAUGAAGCGCAAGUAACCUGACUGGUGGGAUGGCCUGUGCCUGCACCAUCGACCGACCAUGAGCUUUUGCGAAAGGUUUGAGUGCGAGCAUACCUGUUGGGACCCGAAAGAUGGUGAACUAUGCCUGAGCAGGGUGAAGCCGAGGGAAACCUCGGUGGAGGCUCGUAGAUGUGCUGACGCGCAAAUCGCUUUUCGGACUUGGGUAUAGGGGCGAAAGACUAAUCGAACCAUCUAGUAGCUGGUUCCCUC
rnacentral:misc_RNA from 1 species